rnacentral:rRNA from 1 species
GCAAGUCGAGCGGUAACAGAGGUAGCUUGCUAUCUGCUGACGAGCGGCGGCCGGGUAGUAACGCGUAGGAAUCUACCGAGUAGUGGGGGAUAACCAGUGGAAACGCUGGCUAAUACCGCAUACGCCCUACGGGGGAAAGCAGGGGAUCUUCGGACCUUGCGCUAUUCGAUGGGCCUGCGGUAGAUUAGCUUGUUGGUGAGGUAAUGGCUCACCAAGGCGACGAUCUCUAGCUGGUCUGAGAGGAUGAUC